rnacentral:rRNA from 1 species
AUGCUUACAAAGGCGCAAUGGAUCGCCCUGUCGAAAGAAAAGCAAGGCGGAUCUACGAGCAGCGGCAAGAAGAAGGGGAAGGGGAAGCAACGCUCGGCGAGAAAGAACUUCGCCGACUCGGACGACGAGGAUGCGCCUGCACCACCGAGGAGGAAGUUUGACAUCAGAAAAGUGAGGUGUCAUAAGUGUGGCCUCGUCGGUCACUUCAAGACUAACUGCGAGGAAGCACCGAAGCAACGGGCGCUCAUGGCCGAGGAAGGAGACGAUGGGGAUAUGAUGCUAAUGUGCGAGCUAGUGGACGAAGAGGAUCCAGAUGAUCUUGGUCAGCUGGACACGGGUCCGGUGAGUGCAUCUGCGUCAGUAAACCCAGGCGAAGUUAUGGCGCCAGAAGACCAUGACCCAGGGCGUGAUAGUGUGAUUACAUCAGUAAACCCAGGCGAAGUCGUGGCGCCAGAAGACUAUGACGUAAGGCAUGACGAUGUGAUCGCGCUCGAGAACGGCGAAGACGUGGCACCAGAAGUCCAUGACACAAGGCAUGACUGUGUGUUCGCGCUAGAUUCAGGCGAUGAAGUGGCGUCAAAAGUCCAUGACACAAUGCGUGAUGGUGUGGUCGCGCUAGAAAACGGCGAAGAUGUGUCGCCAGAAGAACAUGACGCGGGGCGUGAUGAAGCGAUCACCCCAGAAGAACGCAACAUGCGGCGAGCUGCACUCGGACCAGAUGAAUUUGGCGCAUACGUGAUUUUGGAUAGUGCAACGACGAGUUGCGCGGAUGGGUCUAGUGGCGUUGUGAAGGUGGCAACGAGCGGUGUCGCGUCACACGCCAGUUCACCAGCUCCAUCGGCUGCGUUGCAGGAGCCGGGCGAGAGUGCUUCGCUCGAUGACUCAGUGAGCACGUGUGCGAGCCAGGUUGCUGGCACUGCAGGCGGCAGCCCAGCGGCAACUGAAAGCAGCAGUAGCAGCAACAUGUACGUGGCUGGUGCUGCCUUGCCGGAUAGCGCGUGCAGCCCAACAAACGGGCUGGAUGAGACUGGCCACUAUAUGCCUCAUGCACACAAGCCAGGGAACCAACCACCACGUGGUGGUGAUGGUCUACGAGACAAAGCAGGGAAGCAAAGCCCGGAAAAUUUGCAAGGCGCAGAAAAUUGUGCAGAAGGCAGUUCACCACCAUGCGGAGGACCGAACAAUGCCGAAAAAGGUGACGGGCAGCAGCGAUGGAGUCCAGUAAACAGCAGGCUUGGAAGCCAGGUAAAAGAAGCAAAAUCGCCAGCAACGGUAACUUUGGCAAGUUUAGAUUCUCCAAUAGCACACGAACGACGCGUGUUGGAUCUAUCUCUAGAAGCAGGGCUUCAGAUAAAUUCGGUGAAGAUGAAAAGUAAAGGGCAACGAAGUUUGCACAUCGAGGAACCGGAAUUUUUUUAA